CCUCCUGCCCCCUCUCGGUGGAGCCGCGACGGGCUCGUCUCUGGCUGCUUCGAGUGGAUCGGUCGCACCCUGCGCGCCUUGAGCUGCUGUGGCCGCUGCUGGUCCGUCUUUGGCGCCAAGGAGCCCUUGAUUGCAGCCUGAGCCUGUUGGGCUCUUGCCCCAGGCAAAGAUCCUCGGCUACAAAACCUACCCCUUACAUGGAAUAAAAACGCAUUAAGACCUCAGUUCAGAGAUGGUUGUCAAAGCGUGGUCUCUUUCCCCUUGAGCUUCUCGAUGCAGUCUGGUCGCUUGGCACUUGCACCUUCCUUGUUGCACAGUGAGCUCAGGGAACAAAACUGCAACCACUAUUUCUGCUAUUUUCGCCCAGCAGUCCAUGGCCCAACUGUCCGUGGCAGUGCCUCUGGCUUUGAUGAGCCGGACGUUCUGGCUGGCCGGCAGCAGUGGCGGUCUCUUCCGGGAGCGCUUCCUCCCUCCCAGUACUUUGAAGCACAGUUUUCCUGGCUGAGCCUCUGAUUGGUGCACGGCCAAGAACUGUUUCUUGUCCAACCGGAAGUGUUUCAGAAGGAGUGCUUCAAAUCUUGUCCUUUUUGGGAGGGAUGUUUCUUUCCAGUAUCUUUUAUAUCACAAGGAUAUAUUUCGAUUUGCACCGCUUUCCCCCUCACCCCCGUUCACAAAUUUUCAUUAGAACAAUUGAUUUUGAUUCAUUGUCUUUUUUUCCUCCUCCCAGUACGGUUUAUGGCCAGAAAGAUAUAUUUCGAUUUGCAGUGCUUCCCAAAGCUCCGGCUUACAAUUUUUAUUAAAACGGUUUAACUCCGUUCACUGCCUUUCCCCACAACUACGUUGUUCCAGUAGAACGAUAUAUUUCCAUUUGCACCGCCUCCUCUCCUUUACAAUCUUUCAUUAAAACUAUUUAUUUUCAGUGUCUUCCCCAUUACGUUUUUUCAUCAAAACGACUUAUUUCUAUUUGGGCCCUUACCCUCCUUUUACAAAUUUUCAUUAGAAUGGUUUAUUUUAGUUCUUUGUGACUUGGGGGGGGGGAAAUUAUUUCCCUCCUGUUAUGAUUCUUCAUAGAUCGAUUUACUUAGGUUUGUUGACUUUUUU
rnacentral:lncRNA from 1 species